GUGUGAAGUGAACCUGUGUUACUUUUACAGAUCCGGCUGUGUGACCGCCAACGGGACGUAACAGGAAGAUUUUCAGAAGGCGGUGUGGACGAACAUGUGUCUGUCAGCAGAUGGAGAGGCGGAGGCCCCCCUGGCAAAGACUUAAGCGCAGUUGCAGAGGUUGUGCUGCGCAUACUUGGAGAAGAUAACGCCAGCAUCUCUGGGUUGGACGGCGGCCAGGAUCCAGCUGCGAUGAAGCUUGAUUUGCUUUCAAAAGGUUUGGAUCAAGAUGCACCAAGAGAGUCUCCUGUGUCCCCAGGCAUCUUCGAUGAGCACUCUCCCUGUGCUUUUGAUGCAGUGCAGCCAGGCCCAAGCACUUUGUGUGAGGCAAUAGGCAUCCAUCAAGUGGCCGGGGUGAGUGAUUGUGGCCCAGCAGAGGACCCAGAUGAUCUGCAGGCACUGCGGAGACAAAAAAUGAAGCUGCAAAUUAAAGUGUUGCGACUCCAAGAGGAGUACUACAACUUGGCUUUAA